rnacentral:rRNA from 1 species
CGUGAACGCUGGCGGUAGGCCUAACACAUGCAAGUCGAACGGCAGCACAGUAAGAGCUUGCUCUUACGGGUGGCGAGUGGCGGACGGGUGAGGAAUACAUCGGAAUCUACUUUUUCGUGGGGGAUAACGUAGGGAAACUUACGCUAAUACCGCAUACGACCUACGGGUGAAAGCAGGGGAUCUUCGGACCUUGCGCGAUUGAAUGAGCCGAUGUCGGAUUAGCUAGUUGGCGGGGUAAAGGCCCACCAAGGCGACGAUCCGUAGCUGGUCUGAGAGGAUGAUCAGCCACACUGGAACUGAGACACGGUCCAGACUCCUACGGGAGGCAGCAGUGGGGAAUAUUGGACAAUGGGCGCAAGCCUGAUCCAGCCAUACCGCGUGGGUGAAGAUGGCCUUCGGGUUGUAAAGCCCUUUUGUUGGGAAAGAAAAGCAGCAGGUUAAUACCCCGCUGUUCUGACGGUACCCAAAGAAUAAGCACCGGCUAACUUCGUG